AAAGAUUGAGUGGGCUGAUGAUGU
rnacentral:siRNA from 1 species